CCUCUAGAACCCUCGGUUUGUUUUUCAGAGUCCAUCAUCUCUCAUGGUUCGUCUCUUGAUGGCAUUGCACAACAGCGCCAUGAUUCUCAGUCCAAAGAAGGGCAGAAGAGAUAAAGUUGUUGGGUCACAUGGAUUGCAGAGCAGGGAGAGGAGAGAGGACUAAGGAGAGGGAUAAGGAGAGAGAGGGAGAGAUGUAUCAUUCAGGCGAGUCUCCAGUGGACCCUCCAGUUUUCAAGAACAGCAGAUCUAUUCAGAGCAAGAACGUGAUAUAUGGUGAUCCAAGGGUUUAUGGUAACCAGGAGGCAGCAUGAGUGUGGAUAAAGUUGGCAUGCUGAGAAUUAAAGCAGAGUAAAACAGAGAACCUGCUUCUGCCUUACUCCUCUGUACUUCUCUUGCUCUAUGAGAGAAACUCCUUCCUGCUGAAGCCAUAUUGGGGCAAAUUUUCAGAUCACUUUCCUUCCUAAUAAAG